CCUACGGGUGGCAGCAGUAGGGAAUAUUGCACAAUGGGGGAAACCCUGAUGCAGCGAUGCCGCGUGGAGGAAGAAGGUUUUCGGAUUGUAAACUCCUUUUGUUAGGGACGAUAAUGACGGUACCUGAAGAAAAAGCUCCGGCUAACUCCGUGCCAGCAGCCGCGGUAAUACGGAGGGAGCGAGCGUUGUCCGGAAUUACUGGGAGUAAAGGGAGCGUAGGCGGGACGGCAAGUCAGAUGUGAAAACUGAGGGCUUAACUUUCAUACUGCAUUUGAAACUGUUGUUCUUGAGUGAGGUAGAGGUAAGUGGAAUUCUUAGUGUAGCGGUGAAAUGCGUAGAGAUUAGGAGGAACACUCGUGGCGAAGGCGGCUUACUGG
rnacentral:rRNA from 1 species